rnacentral:rRNA from 1 species
CCCUUAGAUGUCCUGGGCCGCACGCGCGCUACAAUGACUCACUCAGAAAGUUUUUCCUGAUCCGGAAGGAUUCGGGUAAUCUUCAUAGCAUGAGUCGUGUUAGGGAUCGAUCUUUGCAAUUAUAGAUCUUGAACGAGGAAUGCCUAGUAAGUGCAGCUCAUCAGGCUGUACUGAUUACGUCCCUGCCCUUUGUACACACCGCCCGUCGCUCCCACCGAUUGAGUGGUCCGGUGAACCUUCUGGAUUAAGCAGCAAUGCUUGAGAAGUUAGGUAAACCUUAUCACUUAGAGGAAGGAGAAGUCGUAACA